CUAUAAUGACUGAUAAACCAAUGUUGAUUUAAUCAAGAAACAAGGCUUCAAAUGAAAUUGACGUCAAACUAUAUGAGAACCAAUAAUGUUAAUAAUCAGAAUAGUAGUAAUAGCCCACUUGGCUACUAUGUUUUGACACUUCUACAAAAUCAGUUUGGUAGUCAUUUUAAUGUAACUAAAAUGCCAAAAGGCCGAAUAAUUUCCACGAUUCCAUAUGCUUUGCCUCUUGAUGAGCGCAUGCGCACACACAUCAAUACCCAUCCCCCACCCGACUGACUUUUCAAAAUUUCAACCAACUCCCUGCCACUGGUGGUGACUUCAACCGUCACUUUUCUGUCAUGCAUCUGACUGCAAGCUGUACAAACUCUGCCGUCAUCAUAUCCAAGGCAGUGAGUUGUGAGGACUGCUUCCCUGAGAACACUGAGUGCAUUCUGGAAUAUUCCAAAAGUGUGCCACUUCCAUACAAAAGAAGUUCCAAUCACUCACCAGUGGGCUCCAUCAACAGACCAGGGCAAAGUCGGUCUGUCCUGCUACUACUACACGCUACUUGACUAUGUCUGGAAGCCAUGGCUGCUGCCCUCAACAUGCUGUGUUUGUGUGUUUUGAAUGAGGGCUAUGGGGUAUGUCACUAUGCACACUAUACACAUAAUGUAUAGCAAUUGCUAUAUGUUUUAUUUUUUUAGGUGCCAUCCAGCCAGUCCCAGCCUGCAGCCAGAGGCUGGCACUGCACGUCAGAUGGGGGAGGAUCGGCAUCAGAAAGGUGGUUUAAGCAAGAAGGCAAGAGCUUCUGCAGACAGUGUUGCAAUUAGACACCUGACUUUUACUGCCAAAGGGACCAUCAGAGCACCUCUCCCUACCCUGCCGGACAUCUAUACCAGAAGAGUACGAACAAGGGCCCAAAAUGUUUUAAAGGACAUUUCACGCCCAGACCAUGGACUGUUUAAACCACUGAGGUCAAACAGAAGUCUCGGUUCUCACUCGAGGCAGGUCAUUGAGAGGGGGCGAGUGUCACUGUGUAAGCCCCCUACUGCAGGCGAGAAAGCCAUCUUGAUUUGAAUAUUGAUUGAUAAAUACAAUAAAGGCCAUGUAACAAAUUG